UGUAUUUCCCAAAAGUAUGAUUUAAAUUGAUCGAGCGUUACAAUAACGUAAAACAAUGUAGUUUGUUUGUAGUAAUGAGUGCAGACGAUCAAGGGGAAAACCCUUGAAGCUGAGUCCGAGUUACUGUGAUACAAUUGUGCCCUAGUUGCGACCCACCCGCUGUGAACAAACAAUGGGGGAACACUACACCGCCUGGUCGGUAUCGCUCCGUGACAAACACCCCUCCCCCGGCGCGUCGGUCCACAGCCCACACGUUCCGCCAGACAAAGACGUUAUCAUCGGAGACGCAAGCGAUUUGCGUGUCAGUCUGGUGAAGGGCUGUGCCAGAGACGGUCUGAAGACUGCGCCAUGACCAGGAAUUAUUGUGCUGACCCAUUCAAGCGUCACAAAAGAAAAAUAAGCCGACAGGUUCGGCUUGCAAGCAAGAGUUUGAUCGAUCAGGUGAACGAUCCGCGGCUAAAGGAAGACGACUACCUGUGUAUAGAUUGUAAGGUCAGGCUGACAAAACGACCAAAAAGUUUACCCGUGGAGGAAAGUUUGGUGUCACAGCCCCAAAGUGAUUCUGGAAGUCAAGAUGAAGAUCAUUCAGCACCAUCGGCAGACACAUCACUCUCUGAGGUGGAGGUCAACCGACAAAUCACGGAAGACGUGCUCCCUCUUCUUGGCGUAUCUCCUCUGACGACAAAAGGAAAAAAACGAGCCGCAGAAGCGUGGUUCUGCGUCUGAAAAGCUAAAAAAGGGCGUCAACGUCGCUGAAGCGGAAGUUUCAGCGUGCUUUGCAGACGGACAUCCCGACGCCUGAAGGAACGCCUGCCAAGAGACGGAAAGCUGCUGACGACGACGAAUUAGCCCGGUAUCGACAGCUGAUGCAGGAGUUGAAGGAAACAUAUCAGUCCACGACGGACUACAAGAAGCGGCUGUCUAUUCUGACGCUCUUGCCGUACCGGAUCGACGAGACGGCGAAGUUCUUCGGCGCCAGCACGAACAUGGUAAAACGCGCGCGCCAACUUCGGGAGUCCAGCGGCGUUCUGCCUGACAUCGGCGCCGACAGUAGAGGCCGUCGCAUCAGCGAGGACAAUCAGAUGAAAGUUCGGCAAUUUUAUGAGUCGGACGAAGUAAGUAGAAUGCUACCAGGCAAGAAAGACUAUGUAACUGUUCGUAAAAAGGAUGGGUCAAAGGAGAAGUUGCAGAAACGAUUGGUCCUUGGCAGUCUCACGGAAAUUUAUGAACUUUACAAAAAAGAUCAAAGCAACCCAAAGAUAGGAUUUUCUCGUUUUGCUGCGCUUCGCCCAAGAAAUUGCGUGUUGGCAGGAAGUGCUGGCACGCAUGCCGUGUGCGUAUGUACUUAUCACCAAAACCCCAAACUUCUCAUCGCCGCCUUAGACCUCGGCAAACUGACCUAUCAUGACCUCAUGAAUCACUGUGUGUGCGAUGUAACCAAUCGGCAGUGCAUGAUGAAUGAGUGCACGGAGUGUCCUGGUGAGGCGGGUAUAUAUGGUUUCUUGAAAGCCAUGACGAGCGACGGUGAUGACAGCGACGAAGAAGAUGACGACGAUGACGCGGAAGUUAGGUACAGGCAGUGGGAAAGCACAGACAGGUGCACGCUUAUCGAGAAAGUGGAAACGCGCGGCGAAUGUGUCAGAUUGUUAUGUAGGCAAAUACGAGCGCUGACAGUGCACCACUAUCGGGCCCAUACUCAGAGUGCGUAUUUCGCGCAGCUCAAGGACAGUGCACCAGACG